rnacentral:rRNA from 1 species
GCUUGGCCCUAAAUCCAGAUACUCACUACCACUAGAGUAUCCGCCUGAGAACUACGAGCAUAAACGCUUAAAACUCUAAGGACUUGGCGGUGCCCCAAAACCACCUAGAGGAGCCUGUUCUGUAAUCGAUAACCCACGAUAUACCCAACCCCUUCUUGCCCAAAGCAGCCUACAUACCGCCGUCCCCAGCUCACCUCCCCUGAGAGCCUAAGUAGUGAGCACAACAACAUCGCUAAUAAGACAGGUCAAGGUAUAGCCUAUGAAGGGGUAGAAAUGGGCUACAUUUUCUAAAAUAGAAAACGAAAGGAGGUUUGAAACAACCUCCAGAAGGAGGAUUUAGCAGUAAAGGGUGGCAAGAAUACCCCCUUUAAACCUGGCCCUGGGA